rnacentral:rRNA from 1 species
GUGGGGAAUAUUGGACAAUGGGCGAAAGCCUGAUCCAGCCAUGCCGCGUGUGUGAAGAAGGUCUUCGGAUUGUAAAGCACUUUAAGUUGGGAGGAAGGGCAGUAAGUUAAUACCUUGCUGUUUUGACGUUACCGACAGAAUAAGCACCGGCUAACUUCGUGCCAGCAGCCGCGGUAAUACGAAGGGUGCAAGCGUUAAUCGGAAUUACUGGGCGUAAAGCGCGCGUAGGUGGUUCAGCAAGUUGGAGGUGAAAUCCCCGGGCUCAACCUGGGAACUGCCUCCAAAACUACUGAGCUAGAGUACAGUAGAGGGUAGUGGAAUUUCCUGUGUAGCGGUGAAAUGCGUAGAUAUAGGAAGGAACACCAGUGGCGAAGGCGACUACCUGGACUGAUACUGACACUGAGGUGCGAAAGCGUGGGGAGCAAACAGGAUUAGAAACCCCAGUAGUCC